GUAAAACUGCCAGCUGGUGCUACUGAAAACUCCGACGUAAGGGAGAUCAGACUCCGUUUUCAGGUUUUAUCGGUAAGUAAAUGGAAAGCACAAACAUAUAUUAUGUGGAUUCUACUUCAUAGUAACACGACUAAAGUAGUGAAUUUAAAUUAUUUGGAUUAGAUUAGAGAAUGAAGUUUAAAGUUUGUGUUUGGCAAUUAAAAAGUUGUACGGGAUCUGAUUUGACUGUUAUCAUGUGUUGUGGUGUAUUAUCUAGUGACGCGAAGAUAGUUUUAUUGGUAAAGAAUUUUUAAAUAUAUAUAGUGGUAGGUAUUCCAUUAUUGAGGACAUGAUGAAGAACAAUGUUUUUGUGUGAACACAGUAAUACGAAAAUGCUUUGUUAUUACGUAGGUAGCAGCUGCAUUGCUCAGUAUACAGAUGUUUGUGCAUCAGAGCAUAAAUUCUGUAGAUGUAGGAGUUACAUUAAAUGAAUUGCAUGUUAAUUAUGUGUGUAUUAUUGCACUGAUGAAAGUAAAUGUUACAUUUGUGGUUAAAUGUGUGUGCUGUUGUGGAGCAUCUUGAAAACUUAAAUAAUAUGCAACACGACUGUGUGAACUUCAGAAAACAUUGGCUUCUUAUCCAAGAAGCUUCUCUAUUUCAGAAUUGCUAGGGUGCAUGUGUGUGAUUUACUGAAAGGGCCCAGAAAACAACUGGGAGGUGUUGGGUCGUCAACGCUGGGUGUGUCCCCUUUUAAUUUAAUUGUUAACCUGAAAGAGUUAACAACUUGGAGAAAGCCCUCAAUGACCACACCCAGGGUAUUUUCAAUGAAAACAAACAGGGUAUUUCAUUCCAGGUGGAGUCUGAAUGUUAUGUCCUAUAGUGGUGUUUUAGGUUCAAAUGACCAUACUUUGUGUUUUUGAUGAUGUUGUUAUGAUUACUUAUUCCUGUCUGUUUUUUGUUUCAGUAUGCAAUAAUGGACGAAACCCUAGACAGACGGGCCAUCUUCCAUGAAAGUAUGGCGUGCCAUACUUUUGCACUCACGACAACAGCAAGAAUGGCACGCCAACUUAAAGCAGCAGAACAACGGUCUGCUUGUCUUGAAAGAGCAAUGACAACUCAAAAAGAGGAAAUUGCACGCUUACAAGACACGAACCUCACUCUAUCAAAGCAAUUGGAGGAAGCCCAAGUGGGUCUUGACAGCAUGUGU